UUGCCUGACAAGUAGGAAUGUGAAAUAUUGCAGUCCUGCUAUGUCUCGUCUCACCUGCUCUACGCAUUUCUACAGGAAAAUGGCUGCUCCAGGCUGAUGGCAGCUGAACACCUGAGGGAGUGGCAGCGUGGCUCACACAGAGAGGUUAUCUCCAGGGUGCUCCGAGACUGAGGAAUUUUGUGAUGGACCACGUUGUCUGAACAGCCAGCCUUAAGUUGAGACGUUGCUUGCUGUCUGCAUUUUCCUUGUGGUAGCCUGCGUAACCACUUCAGACUGGAGAUUUCAAGAAAGGAAGGAUCUCAUGCAUGGCAAAAUUAGUUCCUGCAGCCUGUCUUUAUAACUUGCUGGGUUUUUUUGGUCCACCUUGCUUUAUCACCCUGGUGCUGGCCAUGGCAGAGCCUCUGAAGACUGGAUGCUGCAGGAAACAAUGCAUCAGGGAGGCUGUUUCAGAGAUGCAGACUCUCAAAGGCAGCCAGCCAAAAGAGGCAGAAGUCUGAAAAAAGAGCUUAAAAAACUCCAGGCUGGAGAGCACUGUUUGGUCCUGGUGUGGGGCUCAGUAAGACUUUCUUUGGAGUUACUGCUCUUGGGCGCUGCAGUGCUGGGUACAGGGACUGAGAUUGCAGAUGUGACAACAGACCUCUCAGGAGAGUUCUGGAGGAGAAGACAGCUUCCAUACUGAAAUGGAGCAGGACUUGGCCUGUCAUGCACAGGGGUGUGGACAGAAGAGCUGUGACAGCACAAAUGGACCCGCACAUGGCAUGACUCGGAGGGAAAAAAAGGGCAAAUCCCUGUUGAACUGGGCUCCCACAGCUGGACACAGUCUAUUCCAGGUAUGGUCUCACCAGUGCUGACCAGAGAGAGAGCAUGAGUUCCUUGGAUAUGAUGUCCGUGGCCCUCCGAGUAUGGCCUGGUGUGAGGUUUGCUGUAUGCACAGGGACAGGAACUGAGGACUGCUGAGGAAGCCACAGUGGAUCGUGCGCCUUCUGAGCUCAGAGCCUGGCAAACAUCCACCCAACACCUGGCAGAAGCUGGAGUGGUUUCGGGGAAGCUUUAGUUACCUGCUAGGUCCCUGGGCCCCUUGUUGCUAUGUGAAGGAGAAAGAGGCUGGAUCUACAAGCCAUGCUGCCCUUUUGUGUCCCACAUGCCAGCAUCAUCUCAAUGGACCCUCCUUCGGCAGGAAUUGGGAGAAGUGCCAACAAAAGGCCAUUGUGUUAGCUUUUCCUGGUGGAAAAAUAAGCCUUGUGUAAAGUCUCAUGUUGCCUUGUACUAUUUCUGCCG